GACGAACGCUGGCGGCGCGCCUAACACAUGCAAGUCGAACGGAGUUAUUUGAAAGCUUGCUUUUGGAUAACUGAGUGGCGGACGGGUGAGUAACGCGUGAGUAACCUGCCUUAAAGAGGGGGAUAACGUCUGGAAACGGACGCUAAUACCGCAUGACAUACGGACAUGGCAUCAUGAUCGUAUCAAAGGAGCAAUCCGCUUUAAGAUGGACUCGCGUCCAAUUAGCUAGUUGGUGAGGUAACGGCCCACCAAGGCGACGAUUGGUAGCCGGACUGAGAGGUUGAACGGCCACAUUGGGACUGAGACACGGCCCAG
rnacentral:rRNA from 1 species